rnacentral:rRNA from 1 species
GACGAACCGUCCAAACGUUGUUCGGAAUCACUGGGCUUAAAGGGCGCGUAGGCGGGCUGCCAAGUCAGGGGUGAAAUCCCACGGCUCAACCGUGGAAGUGCCUCUGAUACUGGCGGCCUCGAGGGAGGUAGGGGCGUGCGGAACUUCCGGUGGAGCGGUGAAAUGCGUAGAUAUCGGAAGGAACACCGGUGGCGAAAGCGGCGCGCUGGACCUCUACUGACGCUGAGGCGCGAAAGCCAGGGGAGCAAACGGG